rnacentral:rRNA from 1 species
CCCCCUACGGGACGCAGCAGUGGGGAAUAUUGGGCAAUGGGCGCAAGCCUGACCCAGCAACGCCGCGUGAAGGAAGAAGGCUUUCGGGUUGUAAACUUCUUUUCUGAGGGACGGAGGAGGUGACGGUACCUCAGGAAUAAGCCACGGCUAACUACGUGCCAGCAGCCGCGGUAAUACGUAGGUGGAAAGCGUUAUCCGGAUUUAUUGGGUGUAAAGGGCGUGUAGGCGGGAAUGCAAGUCAGAUGUGAAAACUA